rnacentral:rRNA from 1 species
UGGGGAAUAUUGGACAAUGGGCGCAAGCCUGAUCCAGCCAUGCCGCGUGGGUGAAGAAGGCCCUAGGGUUGUAAACCCCUUUCAGCGGGGAAGCGGUACCCGCAGAAGAAGCCCCGGCUAACUCCGUGCCAGCAGCCGCGGUAAUACGGAGGGGGCUAGCGUUGUUCGGAAUUACUGGGCGUAAAGCGCGCGUAGGCGGACUUUCAAGUCAGGGGUGAAAUCCCGAGGCUCAACCUCGGAACUGCCUUUGAUACUGUAAGUCUUGAGUCCGAGAGAGGUGAGUGGAAUUCCUAGUGUAGAGGUGAAAUUCGUAGAUAUUAGGAAGAACACCAGUGGCGAAGGCGGCUCACUGGCUCGGUACUGACGCUGAGGCGCGAAAGCGUGGGGAGCAAACAGGAUUAGAUACCCGGGUAGU